rnacentral:rRNA from 1 species
CACAACUAAGGUUGGCAGCAGGCGCGCAAAUUGCCCAAUAGCAACACAUCGCUGAGGCAGCGAAGAGAACUAGCAACUUCAUGCGGCCCUGCCGUGUGAAGAUUGCCAUGGACGAUAUCUAAACCUGUCGGUGAGUAUCAAUUGGUGGACAAGUCUGGUGCCAGCACCCGCGGUAAUUCCAGCACCAAUAGCGUAUAUUAAUGCUGCUGCUGUUAAAAAGCUCGUAGUUGGAUCAAGAGUUCGACAGUGCACGGUGGCCCUGUUUGCCAUGGUGGUUCCGAUCACCAGGGCGGCAGCGGAUCAACCCCGUGCGCCAAACUGUCGACUCUAACAGACCGAAACGGUUCCCUGCGAGUAGGCUCCUUCAUUGGGGUUGAAAGCGCUUACGCAUCAACCAUAUGCAUACGGGACGUCGGUCAAAGUUACUGUGAACAAACCAGCGUGUCCAAAACAGGCUUUCGCCUGAAUGUUCGAGCAUGGAAUAACAAGGGAUCGAUUCUCUCGGUUCUUUUUGUUGGUUUUUAACCCGAGGAGGAGUAAUUCAGGCCACGGUGUCUGAGUUGGGUUCCCCUUCACCUCGGUGGAGGCCCCAAUUAGGCCGUGUCCUUACGGGAUCAAUAGGGACUGACGGGGUCGUACGUACUUCUACGUCAGAGGUGAAAUUCUUAGAUCGUAGGAAGACGAACUUCUGCGAAAGCAUUCGACAAGAAUGUCUUCAUUAAUCAAGAACGAGAAUGUGGGGAUCGAAGAUGAUCAGAUACCGUCGUAGUCCACUACUGUAAACAAUGCCGUCUCAGGAUUGAGAAGCGAACAGAAUGACUUUCACAGCACUAACCCCUGAAACGAGAAAUCAAAGAUUAUGGGUUCAGGGGGGAGUACAUUCGCAAGGCUGAAACUUAAAGGAAUUGACGGAAUGACACCACAAGGCGUGGAGUAUGCGGCUUAAUUUGACUCAACGCGGGGAAUUUUACUAGGUCAGGACAAUGUAAGGAUUGACAGAUUGAGAGCUCUUUCUCGAUCCAUUGUGUGGUGGUGCAUGGCCGCUCCUGGUUGGUGGAGUGAUUUGUCUGGUUGAUUCCGUUAACGAACGAGAUCUCGACCCUUAAAUAGGUGCCCGUGUCGAAUGUAGUUUCGCCUCCGCGUACUUGUACGAUUGGAGCGGGACGAGACUGCGGGAAUACUUCUUAAGGGGACUGUGUGCGUCUCUAGCACGCGGAAGAGCGAACCAAUAGCAGGUCUGUGAUGCUCCUAAAUGUCCUAGGCUGCACGCGCACUACACUGAUGCAAUAAACGAGUCUGAGUGCCUUCUGGCAACCUACCUGGAAGCGGGUGGGAAAUCUUUUGAACUUGCAUCGUGAUGAGGAUCGACGAUUGCAAUUAUUCUCCUUGAAUGAGGAAUGCCUAGUAGGCGCAAGUCAUCAGCUUGUACUGAUUACGUCCCUGCCAUUUGUACACACCGCCCGUCGUUGCUACUGAUUGGCUGUAGGGUAGAGGUGGGCGGAUUUCGAGCAUUUGGGGUGACCCUUUUGCUUGGGAGAAACCUGCCAAUAUUCUGCAGCUAGAAG